CCCGCCCCGCCCCAGGCACGCCGCGCAGGAUCUGCUCCAGGCGGUGCCCAAGGGGUGGCGGGGGAAGUUCGGUCCGUCUAGUGCUGGGAGGUGUCCUCGGACCGCCUCGAGGGCGCCCGGAGACGCGCGGAGGCAGCAGUCCCGGCUCCGCAGGGAGCUCCACCACGUUUAAGAAAUCGGAUCCGAUGAUAAAGAGAAAAGGAUAAACUUCUAUCCUAGUCACCUCCUGCCGGACGAGGAUUUGCUGGCGCGGAGGCAGAGGGGACAGAAGACCACAGGCCUUUUGGGGAACUCGGAACAGUUCAGUGUUUCUGGGGUGUGAGCAUGGCAGGGCGGGGGAGGGGUUAAGGAGGAUGUUUACAAUUUUUGUUUUAUCUCAGAUUCCCAGUCCUGACCUUGGGAUGGAUCUCCUGUCCUCUGCCCCAACAUAAAUCAUUUUAGUUUCAUUCAAUGUGUGGUUCCUAAUCUUUUUAGCAUCACAUGGCCAUUUUAGAAUCUGAUAUGGGCCUUCUAGAAAAGUGCGGGUACCCACAUAGGCAAAGAGCAGCUGCGAUUUGAGUCUAUGGGCUCCUGGCCCCCCGUUGAGAGGGGCUGGGCUAAGCAUUCUUGUUACGAUUGCUGGAUUCUGGGCAAAGAGAUUGGGUUGCCGUCUGUUUCCUGCCUGACCUCCCCAUAUUGCAACCCUUCUGGGCAUGUUUCCCCACUUGCAAAAAUGAGGGGGUUAAAGGUGACCAAUACAGGGAUCCUUCAGGUCUAUGAUGAAUAAUGAAAAGCAGUGGGAUAUAUUGAGGUAUAUAAGGAAGCCAUUUGGUUUAAAACUAAUUUGGCCUGAACUUGUUUUUCCAGAAAGGCCUGACGUGGCAUGUUGGCACACAUUGUACAUCUGCUUUAGACAUUUACAAUGUUCCAAAGCCAAGAAUGAUGCCCUGAAGAUAGGGAUCUUGCCUACCCCAUAUGGGCAUUUCUUUAAGGAUAAGCAUGUCUUCCCAGAAGCUAAGGAUUAAUUACUCAUCUGGUUUAACUCAUCUCCUGACCACUGACCUGCUGACCAGCGACUUGCUGCAGUCACCUGGUGAACACUGACCUGCUGUGCUACCAAAGUAUCUCGUGACUGUAGUACAAGAGAUCUUCCUGUCACAUGUGAUGUAUGCUCUUUGUUCCAAUGAUGAGGAUCAAGGCUGCCCCUGCCCCAGGGAGAAAAGCCCAAGGCGUCCUGCCCUACAUACUGAUCUAUAUCAUCCUCGGGAAGCACAGGACGUCCUGACUUAAUCCGAUCUGAGUCUUACCUAAAGUUAUAGGACCACCCAAUAGCCAGACCCCACCUGCACUGAUACUAUUUUAAUGACUUUUUUACAUAAUCUUUCCUUUGUCUUGUAAAAAGAUAAUUGACAUACCUAUGCCUUAAAUUUAGCCCUACCCUCAACCAGUGUUUGCAGCUCUUACUGCCCGUGGGUCCUGUCCCCUUGCUGCUCCAUGCUAUUCUCUGAAUAAAAGAGCACUACUGCCAAACCUCGAGAGUCCAUGAAAUCUUUCUUUCGACUCCUCGGCUCACCAAGCCUACAUCACCAAGAUGGUAUAGAACCACGUUGUCCCCCC
ensembl:lncRNA